UCCACAAGUGUUCUUGCGAGCCAGAAAUGAUCGCGCGUGCUGAUUCCUAAGUUCCUUGCUGGACAGCUGUCCUGAGCUCAGCCUUCCCACCUGCCUUUAAUAACUCCAGCCUCUUCUCGAAAACACGACGUUUGGAGAAAUGUAAAGACGGAUUCCGAGUGCUAACGUGGGGAUUUUAGUAUGUGCCUUUGUUCAAGUGUAAUGUAGCAGCGCCUGCACUGAACCAAUCUUGGAUUAUUUCUAAUGUUGGCUCAAAAUGCGUAUUUUUCUUCCUUAAAACUACUGUGGGUCAUUCCGCAAGGAGAGAGUUCGUUAAAAAGGGGGGUGGGGAGAGGGAACACCUUUUUAAAACGGAGUCUUUGUGAUUCCACAGUUUAUGCGGUUAUAUUCCAAAGCCUGGAAAAGCUUUCGUCUUUAUUUUUCAAGUGUUCUUCACAAAAUAAAAAGUCAUUUCUAGA